rnacentral:rRNA from 1 species
UACGGGAGGCAGCAGUCGGGAAUAUUGCGCAAUGGAGGAAACUCUGACGCAGUGACGCCGCGUAUAGGAAGAAGGUUUUCGGAUUGUAAAACUAUUGUCGUUAGGGAAGAAAAAAGAUCGGUACCUAAGGAGGAAGCUCCGGCUAACUACGUGCCAGCAGCCGCGGUAAU